GGAACGUUAGCUCAGUUGGUGGAGCAUCCGGCUCAUAACCGGACGGUUCAGGGUUCGAAUCCCUGACGUUCCA
rnacentral:tRNA from 1 species